AGGGUGGCAUUGUUACAUGGCUCUAGACUCAUGGUGUCACCAUCACCAAGUACCACCCUGCCUGUCCCCUGGCAGUUAGAGGACAGCAGUGUCUGAUGAGGAACUGGCCUGUGUUGGUUUUCUAGACCAACGUUGCCCUGGGUAAAAGUAGACGGAUUCCAGACAAAGGCUUUUGGGAAGUGCAACUGACCCACGUGGCCCAUAUAUGUCCAUGUCCUCUGGAGUAGACCACUUCCUGCCCUCUGGGUAUUGGGUGCCACUGGUCUCACUGUACAGUUGUCGUUCACUGUGAUCUGAGGAACAGGCCAUGGGGAAGCCACCCUGUGACUCUCAGCACUGCACUGUGACAGGAAUGGCAAGCAGGGCUGCUGGUGACUCCCUGGGAAGAGGACAAGCCUCCCCCCCACAUACCUAUUGGCAGUGAGUCUCGGGAUCUGCGCCAGCUCAUCUCAGGGCACUCUUGGCCUGGGGUCUGGGAGACUGAAGAUUGUGACCUCACUUGUUUGGAUAAUGCUGUGUCUUCAUGAGAUGAUAAGGUGAGUGUCAUCUUUGUCCUCACCUAAGAAAGGUGAAUGUCCCAUCCUCACCUGGCAGCAGUUGGAACUCUAUCCACAAGUGAAGGUAAGAUGAAUGCUGUGUCCUAAAAUUAUGAAAGUUGCCAUUGAGGGAAGUGAGCCCCAUACUAUGUACUCAACCAGGAAGGGUGAAUGCAGCUUCCUUAUUUGAUAGGUGAAUGCCGUUUCCUCAACUAACAGUAGUAUUAACAUUCUGCCUUCACAUGAUGGCAGAGUGAAUGUCCUGAUUUCAUUGGAUAGAAUGGUGACUGCACUAUUCUCUACUUAUGCAAGGAUAAUCAAU
rnacentral:lncRNA from 1 species